rnacentral:rRNA from 1 species
AGUGAACGCUGGCGGUAGGCCUAACACAUGCAAGUCGAACGGCAGCACAGUAAGAGCUUGCUCUUACGGGUGGCGAGUGGCGGACGGGUGAGGAAUACAUCGGAAUCUACUUUUUCGUGGGGGAUAACGUAGGGAAACUUACGCUAAUACCGCAUACGACCUACGGGUGAAAGCAGGGGAUCUUCGGACCUUGCGCGAUUGAAUGAGCCGAUGUCGGAUUAGCUAGUUGGCGGGGUAAAGGCCCACCAAGGCGACGAUCCGUAGCCGGUCUGAGAGGAUGGUCAGCCACACUGGGACUGAGACACGGUACAGACUCCUACGGGAGGCAGCAGUGGGGAAUAUUGGACAAUGGGCGCAAGCCUGAUCCAGCCAUACCGCGUGGGUGAAGAAGGCCUUCGGGUUGUAAAGCCCUUUUGUUGGGAAAGAAAAGCAGCAGGUUAAUACCCCGCUGUUCUGACGGUACCCAAAGAAUAAGCACCGGCUAACUUCGUG